GACGAACGCUGGCGGCGUGCCUAAUACAUGCAAGUAGAACGCUGAAGGAGGAGCUUGCUUCUCUGGAUGAGUUGCGAACGGGUGAGUAACGCGUAGGUAACCUGCCUGGUAGCGGGGGAUAACUAUUGGAAACGAUAGCUAAUACCGCAUAACAGUAGAUAUCGCAUGAUAUCUACUUGAAAGGUGCAAUUGCAUCACUACCGGAUGGACCUGCGUUGUAUUAGCUAGUUGGUGAGGUAACGGCUCACCAAGGCGACGAUACAUAGCCGACCUGAGAGGGUGAUCGGCCACACUGGGACUGAGACACGGCCCAGACUCCUACGGGAGGCAGCAGUAGGGAAUCUUCGGCAAUGGACGGAAGUCUGACCGAGCAACGCCGCGUGAGUGAAGAAGGUUUUCGGAUCGUAAAGCUCUGUUGUAAGAGAAGAACGAGUGUGAGAGUGGAAAGUUCACACUGUGACGGUAUCUUACCAGAAAGGGACGGCUAACUACGU
rnacentral:rRNA from 1 species